rnacentral:rRNA from 1 species
CGUCGCCGGCGACCGGCGCACGGGUGAGUAACACGUAUGCAACCUGGCCGUGACAGAUGGAUAACCGGGAGAAAUCCCGCCUAAUACAACAUAAUGCCGGGAGGGGACAUCCCCUGCCGGUCAAAGGGGGCGACCCCGGUCACGGAUGGGCAUGCGGCGCAUUAGGUAGUUGGUGGGGCAACGGCCCACCAAGCCGACGAUGCGUAGGGGUUCUGAGAGGAAGGUCCCCCACAUUGGAACUGAGACACGGUCCAAACUCCUACGGGAGGCAGCAG